rnacentral:misc_RNA from 1 species
GAUGAAGAACGUAGUGAAAUCCGAUAAGUAAUGUGAAUUGCAGAAUUCAGUGAAUCAUCGAAUCUUUGAACGCACAUUGCGCCCCUUGGUAUUCCGAGGGGCAUGCCUGUUCGAGCGUCAUUAUAACCCCUCAAGCUCAGCUUGGUGUUGGGGCCUGCCGCACGGGCAGCCCUUAAAAUCAGUGGCGGUGCCAUCUGGCUCUAAGCGUAGUAAUUCUUCUCGCUAUAGAGUCCCGGUGGAUGCUUGCCAUUAACCCCCAAUUUUCUAUGGUUGACCUCGGAUCAGGUAGGGAUACCCGCUGAACUUAAGCAUAUCAAUAAGCGGAGGA